rnacentral:miRNA from 1 species
AGUCUUCUCCUGGGGCUUUGGUGGCUAUGGUUGGCUGGGCCACUCAGAACAGAAGGAUGAGAUG